rnacentral:rRNA from 1 species
UACGAAGGUGGCAAGCGUUGUUCGGAUUUACUGGGCGUAAAGGGAGCGUAGGUGGUUAGGUAAGCCCUCCGGGAAAUCUUCAGGCUUAACCUGAAAAGGUCGGGGGGGACUGCCUGGCUAGAGGACGGGAGAGGAGCGCGGAAUUCCCGGUGUAGCGGUGAAAUGCGUAGAUAUCAGGAGGAACACCUGUGGCGAAAGCGGCGCACUGGACCACAACUGACGCUGAGGCGCGAAAGCUAGGGGAGCAAACAGG